AUGCUGUCUAGGAGCAUGCACUUUUCCUCCAUAAAGAUGUUCGCUGCUGGGCUGUCUGAGUGGAUUCAAGUAAUUGGAUUAAGAUAUUAUUUUAAAUGAUGCACUGCAUGCUUAACUAAGCUUCUCGGUGUGCUGACAGAGAAUAUUGAGAGCUCAAAGGACUUGUUUGGACUAGUUUCCCACCCUAGUUUGAACAAGGUGGAUGCAUUUUGUUGAUCGCAUGGUACAAGUUUCCGAGGUGUUUGCUGAGUAGCGCUUUACAAACCAGAAUCUACCAAACACAUGUAUGCAGAACUUGAUCGACACAGUCUUCGCUGGUGACUUUAUAUCUCAUCAGAAGACACUGAAGUCGGAAAAGACUUCUGGAUCAACAUAGCGUCCACACAAGUCGAACCACUGUGCUUCGUGCACUUCCUGUGCUGCUGAGAGAAGAUGCCUCAAGAUUCUUCAAAGCAUGCGGAAAUAAAGUCAUACAGGUCUGGAACAAGGCUGAAGAUUCAGAAGAGCCAAUUGUUGGAUAUUCACCAGUUGCCCUGUUAACAGUGGUAAGAGAACUCGGAUGCUGCAAUUCACUACAAUCUGGUCAGAAAUUUCAUUGUUCUUGAAAGUGAAGUCAUCCCCCACCUGCCCAGGACUGAUUUAUGCAUUGGAUCUGAGUUACCCAAAAGAGUUUUAAAGACAGGUGGCUUUAUAAGGUUUUAACGUUGAAUGUACAACCCUAAUGCAGCUGUAGACAAUUUAUCCUGUCGCUGUCAAAUGUGUUUUGUUUUUUGUUUUUCCUCAGUGUUGUGCCUCAUGAUUUGUCAAUAAUUAAAAAUUGUCUUUUUAUGUUAAAUAUGUUUACUACAUGCAGUUUGCUUAUUUUUAUUAUAAUUUUGAAUUUUAUUUUGACAGUUUAUUAAUGUAUUUGAAUACUAAAAAAAAAAAAAAAGACUGAUUUUGUUUUGUGCAACACUUCUGACAGUUAAUAUAAACCUGGGCAUUUGCAAAGUAAAAUUACAUGUUUUUUUUUUUUGUGUGUGUUUUAUAUAUAAAUGGUCUUAGAUUUACAGUAUUUUUUGUAAUAACAAUAGUAAAUAUAGCUGCAAGCAGCGAUGAUGGGCCCAAGCACCAUGGGUCCAUUUCCACUCAAUGCAUGUGUGGAGCCGAGGAGGGAGGGGCCGGGUUGGAAUGAGACACACCCGGUCCCCAAUCAGCCUGAUGGGGCGCGCGAGGGAUAAAGGCGGCCGGGGACGACAGUUAGAGAGAGAGAGAAUUACAGACAGCUGUGCUGUGUUUUUAGUUGUGUGUUUUUGGUUUGGGUUUUUGUUUAAUAAAUUAUUAUUUAAGUUGUCAAGCCGGUUCUCGCCGCCUCCUUUCCUCUAAACCCCCUUACACUGGUGCCGAAACCCGGGAAGGAGGAGGGAUUCCCGUCGCAGAGUCCUUGACACUGCCGUCCACCCAGGGGAGCGCCGCUGCCGUCCGACGGUGGACGGAGUAGCCCGACUACCCGGACGCGGGGAACGGCCGCCGUCCGCGAGGCGAGUGGGGACGGGACUCCCCGACCGCCUGGAGCGAGGGAGCCGCUGCCGGGGGCGGAGGAGUGCCCUGCCGUCCCCCGGGAACGCGGAGGGGUUGAGAGAAGACCGCCGUCCGCGGGGGGGAGGAGGGAAGUGACUCCCCGACCGCCUGGAGUGGUAGGGCCGCUGCCAGGGGCGGAGGAGAGUCCCCACGGGACGCCGGGAACGCGGAGGGGCGUUCUGUCAGCUGGGGGUCGGAGGUCUGACUCCGGUCCGCCCGGGGAGGAGCGGCUGCAGUCCGCCUGAGAGGGUGGAGUAGUGAUCGAGGACCACGCGACGGCGCAUCAGAGAACCGGUCGAGGAAGGCGGGGAGGACCCGCCGGCAGUCGGGGCAUAAGGCACGCCCCCCCACCUGGAGAGGAAGGGUGAGGGGGGAUGUACGUCAUGCCGGGGGCUCCCCGGCCUGAGGCAACGCCGGGAGGAGUGUGGAGCCGAGGAGGGAGGGGCCGGGUUGGAAUGAGACACACCCGGUCCCCAAUCAGCCUGAUGGGGCGCGCGAGGGAUAAAGGCGGCCGGGGACGACAGUUAGAGAGAGAGAGAAUUACAGACAGCUGUGCUGUGUUUUUAGUUGUGUGUUUUUGGUUGGGUUUUUGGUUAAUAAAUUAUUAUUUAAGUUGUCAAGCCGGUUCUCGCCUCCUCCUUUCCUCGAAACCCCCUUACAGCAUGAUAGACACAGCAACAACUCAACAUUAAUCUAAACUUGGACCCUAAUCAUACAAAGUGUAAUAAGACAUAUGCCACCAUUCCAGUUUGACUACAACUUAAUGUAAUUUAAACUGUUGCCAUGACAACACUAUUAAAGCAUCCCUUCAAAAUUUUCCAUCAGCAGUGUCUAAACAAUUCUGAAGCAAUUUGGGUAAAUGUAAGAGGACUAUUUUAGAGUCUGUUUUAGGUGCCACACUUACUGCUGCCAGUUGGUGGUGCUAUGACAUGACCCACAAUAGCCACAUCCAUGUGAUUAGCCCCAAGAUAAAAACAUACAACUCAAUUUUGAUCUAAAUCACACAAUGCAUGCAGAAGAUAUGAGACACUUCCUGUUUCCCUAUUUUUGCCAUUAAUUUAGUGAAUCACCAUGGCAACACCACUGGAUACAUUUUUGUUAUAAUUGAAUAUAUUUAUUGAAAAAAAUAAGUAGAUCUAAAGAUUAUAUUGUAAUGAUUUCAUUUACCAUUUUUAUUUAUCCUUGAAAUGGCUUUAAAUUUAAUUAACAAAUGUAAUUCAAAGCAUUAGGUGUUAAGAUAGUCUAAGUAGAUUUUAAUAUGAGCACAGAAGUCAUUUAGGCUUGAAAUGUCAUAAUUCUGUGAAAAUACGUUUCAAAUUCUUUUAUUGUUGCAUUUUUCUCUGUUCAAUAUCAAAAUAAAUGAAGUACAUUAACUUUGAGUCUGCAUUCGUUAUUCAUACGCACAACUGUUUAAAUAGCCUCUAAAUUAAUGUAGGGCAAAUGAGGACAUAAAUUAGUUUAGAAUACUGCAUGUUCGCCCAUAGAAUAAUUUUUCAAAGCAUAAAUUACCAACUGGUUACCAACAAACAACUAUUUGUCACGGUUCCGGCAUUUGUGCCGGCUCAUACUGUUGUUUGUUUUUCUCUCUCCCUCGUGCCUCACAGGUUGAGAUGGCACGCGAUCAAUGUUUCCAUGGGUACAGUGAUCAGUCUCGGGUAGAUGCUGAUAACAGCAAUGAUUUACUCACCUGUUACCAUCUGCUUCACUCUGAUUGCACUCCCUACUUAUUCCUUGUGUGUCACCUCGUUAUUUGCCCAUUUAUUGUUCA